GCGGAGGAAAAGAAACCAACAGGGAUUGCCUCAGUAACGGCGAGUGAAGCGGCAACAGCUCAAAUUUGAAACCUGCCUCCAGGCCGGAUUGUAAUUUGUAGAGGAUGCUUUGGGGUAGGCACUGAUCUAAGUUUCUUGGAACAGUACGUCACAGAGGGUGAGAAUCCCGUUCGUGGUCGGCUGCCUGCACCGUGUAAAGCUCCUUCAACGAGUCGAGUUGUUUGGGAAUGCAGCUCAAAAUGGGUGGUAAAUUUCAUCUAAAGCUAAAUAUUGGCCAGAGACCGAUAGCGCACAAGUAGAGUGAUCGAAAGAUGAAAAGCACUUUGGAAAGAGAGUUAAACAGCACGUGAAAUUGUUGAAAGGGAAGCGCUUGCAAUCAGACUUGCGCGUAGGUAAUCAAGGGCGGUUCGCUGCCCUGCACUUGCCUGCGCUCAGGCCAGCAUCAGUUCUGGGGGUGGGAGAAAGGCCGUUGGAAUGUGGCUCUUCGGAGUGUUAUAGCCUUCGGUGCCAUGCUGCCUCCCGGGACUGAGGAC
rnacentral:rRNA from 1 species